rnacentral:rRNA from 1 species
AUAGUUUGAUCCUGGCUCAGAACGAACGCUGGCGGCAUGCUUAACACAUGCAAGUCUAUCGCGAAGGGUUCCUUCGGUCACCCGGCAUAACGCCCAUCGGUGGAGUAACGCGUGGGAAAUCUGCCCUUUGUCGGGGAAUACACCCUUGAACACGGGGUCUAAUGCCAUCCCACCUCUAGGACCCUUCUUUGUCCCUGAUGAAAGAACGCCUCUCCGUCUAGCAUGCAUCCAAAGGAGGAUCCCGCGUCCCAUUACCUAGUUGGUGUGGUAUUGGACUACUAUGGCGACCAUGGGUAGCCGGCCUGACAGGCUGAUCGUCCACUCCGCGUCCGAUCCGCUGUCCCCAUUCUUAUAGCAGGCAAUAGUGCGGAAUUUUGCGCGAUGGUGGAAACCCUGACACCUCUACGCCGCGUGCGGUAUGAACGACUUAGGGUCUUAUACCGCUGUCUUACUGGACGAACUCACGGCGGAUGAACAACCCUUCGUUGCUUCAUGGACCAUUGUCCGACUCUCCCCUUUAAUUCAGAGUCUUCAUACCCGGUCUUACUUAUGUGAUCUUUCUUCGUUUGGAAUCAAUGUUGCGUAAUGGGUUCUUAUGUCUUUAACUUUAUCCUCAUGUGAUACUCCUAGGUUUUUUCCAUUAAUGCCUACAACCAUUGGCUGUUUACUCUCUGGUAUAACGUUCACGCAUUUUCCCC